GGAAAAAUUGCUAUAGGUAAGGCGAGUCAAUUGCUAUUUGAUGUCUUUUUAGACUUAAAAGUUCGAAUCUUUUUUUUUCCG
rnacentral:tRNA from 2 species